rnacentral:rRNA from 1 species
AAUAGAUACCCCGGUAGUCCACGCCGUAAACGAUGAGUGCUAGGUGUUGGGGGGUUCCACCCUCAGUGCUGAAGUUAACACAUUAAGCACUCCGCCUGGGGAGUACGACCGCAAGGUUGAAACUCAAAGGAAUUGACGGGGGCCCGCACAAGCAGUGGAGCAUGUGGUUUAAUUCGAAGCAACGCGAAGAACCUUACCAGGUCUUGACAUCCUUUGACCACUCUAGAGAUAGAGCUUUCCCCCUUCGGGGGACAAAGUGACAGGUGGUGCAUGGUUGUCGUCAGCUCGUGUCGUGAGAUGUUGGGUUAAGUCCCGCAACGAGCGCAACCCUUGACCUUAGUUGCCAGCAUUCAGUUGGGCACUCUAAGGUGACUGCCGGUGACAAACCGGAGGAAGGUGGGGAUGACGUCAAAUCAUCAUGCCCCUUAUGACCUGGGCUACACACGUGCUACAAUGGAUGAUACAAAGGGGUUGCGAAGCCGCGAGGCCAAGCCAAUCCCAAAAAGUCAUUCUCAGUUCGGAUUGUAGG